GCAACAUCUAUUACGCAACUAGAGACUUCCGGUAUGACUUUAGCUGAUUCUAUAAACGUUAGUCAAAAAAUUAAAGCUGAAAUUUAAAAUGCCCCAAAUGAAAUCGGAAAAACCAUUUAUAAAAAAGUGACCCAGGUUUUAAAUAAAAAUAAAGGAUUUAAAAUUCUUUCUAAUAUAUCAGUUAUUUUGAAUGGGUAAGAAGGCACAACAAAUAAAAUUCCGGAUGAUAUAACAGUAAAUGAUUUGACGUUCUUUAAAUAUUCACCCAUCACUUUGAUAGACGUUGAAUGUAGCUUCUCUAUCUACGAAAAUUUACUGGUGGAUAACAGAAGGUCGUUUUUAUUCAAAAAUCUUAAACAAUCUCUGGUAAUUCAGUGAACAGUUCAGAGUGUACAAGUUGAAGUUUAGCCUAUAGAAAAAUUAUUUUAAUCACUUUCAUUUCAAUUUGAUUAAUUUAAUCAAAUAUUAUUUAGAAUUUUUAGGGCAUUAAAGCAUUUUUUUUAAGGGCAUUGUUUAGAGUUUUAUAGGGCAUUAUAUUUCCAAUCCUACUUGUGUGUAAUGUGUUUGUGUAGAAGAAAUUAUCAUGCAAUUCUGUGCUUCAAAUUCAAAAGGCUUAAUGUUGUCUGCGUUUAAACUCUAACUUCAUCCUAAG